rnacentral:misc_RNA from 1 species
GGCCAUAGGGUACCUUAUUGCCUUGGUGUCGUCUAUCGCCUUAAUAACACUGUCUAAAGCACAUACAAGUCAAUGCAAAAAAGCAUGAAACAUGAUGCAAAAUAAGAGAAUAUAAACAACUCUUCAACCUUCAAGUAUAGAAAAGAUAAGGAAUAAAAAAUGAAUAAGUUAAAAAAAAUAACUUCAAUUGUUAAUUAUACAGGAUAUAGUAAAGAGAGCAAGAGAGAGAUAAUAAUUAUGCAUUUGCCCUUCAAGUAAAACAAAAGUUACUUGCCUCUUCUAACCCCAAGCUGAUCCA